AGCGUAGGUGGCCUAACAUGUCAACCGUGAAAACCCGGAGCUCAACUCCGGACUUGCAGUUGAAACUGGUAGGCUUGAGGACGGUAGAGGAAGACGGAACUGCCAGUGUAGGGGUAAAAUCCUUAGAUAUUGGCAGGAACGCCGGUGACGAAGGUGGUUUUCUGGGCCGGUUCUGACACUGAUGCUCGAAAGCCAGGGGAGCGAACG
rnacentral:rRNA from 1 species